GUCAAGUCAUCAUGGCCUUUAUGGCCAGGGCUACACACGUGCUACAAUGGCCGGUACAAAGGGUUGCCAACCCGCGAGGGGGAGCCAAUCCCGUAAAGCCGGUCGUAGUCCGGAUCGGAGUCUGCAACUCGACUCCGUGAAGUCGGAAUCGCUAGUAAUCGCGAAUCAGCAAUGUCGCGGUGAAUACGUUCCCGGGUCUU
rnacentral:rRNA from 1 species